CAGCCGCGUAAUUCCAGCUCCAAUCGCGUAUAUUAAAGUUGUUGCAGUUAAAAAGCUCGUAGUUGAACUUCGGGAUCAAUUAGUUGGUCAUGCCUUGGUAUGUCCUGAUUUUAUUGGUUCUCACCUUCUAAAGAACUAUAAUGUCAUUUAUUUGAUGUUAUAGGGAAUUAGGACUGUUACCUUGAAAAAAUUAGAGUGUUUAAAGCAGGCUCACGCUUGAAUACAUUAGCAUGGAAUAAUGAAAUAGGACAUCGCAUUCUAUUUUGUUGGUUUCUAGGAUCGAUGUAAUGAUUAAUAGGGAUAGUUGGUGGCAUUAGUAUUCAAUUGUCAGAGGUGAAAUUCUUGGAUUUAUUGAAGACUAACUACUGCGAAAGCAUUUGCCAAGGAUGUUUUCAUUAAUCAAGAACGAAAGUUAGGGGAUCGAAGACGAUCAGAUACCGUCGUAGUCUUAACCAUAAACUAUGCCGACUAGGGAUCGGAUGAUGUUGAUUUUUUAAUGACUCAUUCGGCACCUUACG
rnacentral:misc_RNA from 1 species